GAAGCCACGAGCGCAGUAUUUUCAGACUAACCGAUCUUUUAAAAUGCAUGAAUGUGCAGAUACGUACUGACUAAAGGAGAGUGAAGCAUUAAUAGCUGAGCUGAAAUCUGAGGAGUGCUCUACGGAGCUCAGCGGAGCGGAUAACCUCAGUCAACCGACAAGCAUGAACACGUGUGCGGUUCGCAGCCUCACCUUAAAGCAGGUCAUUAUUUAAUGACUGUUUCUUCUGUCUGCACAAGAGCGCUGUUGUUCUACAUGGCAAGCACUAAAGCAGGGGACUAAAAGGACCAACGUUUUCUCAAACCACUAGAGGGCACUUUAACAAUGUAUGGCUCAA
ensembl:processed_transcript